CAAAUAACCAGGUAGUUUUGAAUGACUUGGUGUAGUUAGAGGGUGGAGACCUGUCCCUUGCAUUGUGGGCAGGCUGACCCCAGCAGAAGUCUCCAAAUGCGAGGAUCUUGGCUAUGCAAUUUAUGGUGAUGGCGGGUUGCUCUUGGGCUUUCCCUGU